CCGCCGCGUGUUGCAAGACGGUUUUGCGGCUCGGUCCUGGGCGCCAGCUGGGCAAGCGCUUGCUUGUUGCUAAUUCGUCUGGGUUGGCACACAGGAAAAAGAAGAUUUCUACCAAGUCUCGUAUUAUGGGCACUGGUCAAUGAUGUCAUAAUUGCUGAGACCACUUGGAGAUGUAUAUGAUGAGUGACAUGUAGAUUGUGACCUGGUCCUAAUUCCUGGGUGUGGAUUAAGGAGAUGAAGACAGAUGGUAUCUUGUAGAAGAUGGAGAUUCAAAGGUCACCUCGAUCUUCAAUCAAAA